ensembl:miRNA MIR100 microRNA 100
CCUGUUGCCACAAACCCGUAGAUCCGAACUUGUGGUGAUAGUCCACACAAGCUUGUGUCUAUAGGUAUGUGUCUGUUAGG